rnacentral:rRNA from 1 species
GCGUGUAGUGGCCGUCGAUCCAGAGCGCCAUGCCGUGCAGCGUAUCGGCCGCGACGCCGAGAUCCGCGCGCGCGGACGCGCGCGCGAGCGCCGACAGUUGCCCGCCGAUGCGGCGCACCGCGUCGCGAUCGCCGGCGACGUGGUGAUACACCGCGAUCGUCCACAACGCGCCCGCGGCCGCCUUCGCGUCGCUCAGCUCGCCGACGCGCGACAGCACGCGGUCGGUAUGCUCGCGCACGCGCGGAUCGCCCCAGCCGUCGCGCGCCAUCUGCGCGUGCGCGAGCGUCAGGUCGACCGAUACCGCAUCCUCGUGCUGCCCCGGGUAGUCGCAAUGCAGCAGCCAGCCGCGCACCGCGCCCGCAUAGCGGAUCGCGUCGUCGUGCAGCGCGCGCGCGAGCGCGCGGCGCGCGGCUUCGAUGCCGUGCGGCACCGCGGCGGCGAACGCGUGCGCACGCGCGAAGUGAUCGGCGAUGCUCGCCGAGCGCGCCGCCGGAUCGCCCUGCGCGACGCACGCGAGCAGCGCCUGCGCGACGCGCCGAUGAUAUUCGCGGCGCGUCGCGGCCGGCAUCGAUUCGUAUGCGGCCUCGCGCAGCAAUGCGUGACGGAACACGUACGUCGCGCCGCCGAUGCGGUGCUGCGCGUACAGCACGCGGCCUUCGAUCAGCCGCCGCAACCGCUCGUCCAGUUCCGCGCCCGCGUGCGGCGACGCUUCGGCGAGCAGCCGCGCGUCCACCUCGAGGCCGAUCGUCGCGGCGAGCUGCACGGUAUCGAGCGCGUCGUCCGCGCGUUCGAGCGCGAGCUCGAGCGUCUCGCGCAGGCUGCCCGGCAGCGGACAGCGCCCCGCCUGCGCGAGAUCGGGCAGCCGAGCGCCCGCGCCCGGCGCAACGCCGCCUUCGGCGAGCGCGCGGACCGUUUCCUCCACGUACAGCGGCACGCCGCCCGUGCGCUUCACGAGAAAAUCGAGCGCCGCGCGCUGCGUGCCCGCGCCGGGCAUCAGCGACACGAUCAGAUUGCGCGUCGCGGCAGCCGACAGGCGGCGCAGCAUCAGGCGUUCGGCGCCGCGCCGCCAGCGCUCGAGCCGCUCCGGCCGCGACGUCAGCACGACGCACACCGCCGCGCACGCCGGGUGGUGCGCGAGCGCGUCGAGAAAAUCGUCCGUCGCGCUGUCGCACCAUUGCACGUCGUCGACGAUCAGCAGCACGGGACCGCCGCCGCCGAGCGAGCCGAGCAGUUGGCACAGCACGUCGAAAAGCGCCUGCUGCUGCCGCGCGCCCGACCAGCGCAGCGUAUCCGCGCCGCCCGGCAGGCCGAG